GGGCCCGUGGGGUAGUUUGGAAUCCUUCCAGCAUGGGGCGCUGGUAACCUGAGUUCAAAUCUCAGCGGGCCCA
rnacentral:tRNA from 1 species